rnacentral:rRNA from 1 species
ACCUUCGGGCCUCUUGCCAUCGGAUGUGCCCAGAUGGGAUUAGCUAGUAGGUGGGGUAACGGCUCACCUAGGCGACGAUCCCUAGCUGGUCUGAGAGGAUGACCAGCCACACUGGAACUGAGACACGGUCCAGACUCCUACGGGAGGCAGCAGUGGGGAAUAUUGCACAAUGGGCGCAAGCCUGAUGCAGCCAUGCCGCGUGUAUGAAGAAGGCCUUCGGGUUGUAAAGUACUUUCAGCGAGGAGGAAGGCGUUGUGGUUAAUAACCGCARCGAUUGACGUUACUCGCAGAAGAAGCACCGGCUAACUCCGUGCCAGCAGCCGCGGUAAUACGGAGGGUGCAAGCGUUAAUCGGAAUUACUGGGCGUAAAGCGCACGCAGGCGGUCUGUCAAGUCGGAUGUGAAAUCCCCGGGCUCAACCUGGGAACUGCAUCCGAAACUGGCAGGCUAGAGUCUUGUAGAGGGGGGUAGAAUUCCAGGUGUAGCGGUGAAAUGCGUAGAGAUCUGGAGGAAUACCGGUGGCGAAGGCGGCCCCCUGGACAAAGACUGACGCUCAGGUGCGAAAGCGU